rnacentral:rRNA from 1 species
GAUGAACGCUGGCGGCGUGCUUAACACAUGCAAGUCGAACGGGAUCCAAGGGGUGCUUGCACUUUUUGGUGAGAGUGGCGAACGGGUGAGUAACACGUGAGUAACCUGUCCUUUUCUUUGGGAUAAGCAUUCGAAAGGGUGUUUAAUACCUUAUGUUCUGUCUGCCUCGCAUGGGGUGGGUGGGAAAGGCUUUGGCCGGAUUUGGGUGGGCUCGCGGUCUAUCAGCUUGUUGGUGGGGUGAUGGCUUACCAAGGCUUUGACGGGUAGCCGGCCUGAGGGGGGGGGGGGUAAAAUGGGGAUCGGGAAACGGCCAAGACCCCGGGGGGGGGCAGCAGGGGGGGAUAUUGCACAAGGGGCGAAAGCCGGAUGCAGCGACGCCGCGGGGGGGAGGAAGGCCGUCGGGUUGUAAACUUCUUUGGCCCGGAACAAGGGAUGCCAGGGGGGGGGUUGGGGGUAGGGGGUUAUUAGCGCCGGAAAACUACGU